rnacentral:rRNA from 1 species
ACGGAGGGUGCAAGCGUUAUUCGGAUUUAUUGGGCGUAAAGGGCGCGUAGGCGGCUUUUUAAGUCAGAUGUGAAAUCCCGGGGCUUAACCUCGGAAGUGCAUUUGAAACUGGGAAGCUUGAGUAUGGGAGAGGGAAACGGAAUUCCUGGUGUAGCGUUGAAAUGCGUAGAUAUCAGGAGGAACACCGGUGGCGAAAGCGGUUUCCCGGACCAAUACUGACGCUGAGGCGCGAAGGCGUGGGGUUAAAACAG